CCGAGAAUAAACAAAGUUUAUUACUAUUCAUUGGGAAGGAAGAGAUGUCAUUUCACUUAGACUGAAAAUGUUCCCAAACUGGUCCAAUUUGUGGCGCAAGGCAAGGUUCAAUGGUUCUGCUUUCCUGCCCCUUUCCCCACAUCCUCUGAGCAUCUUUUGAUGACAUUCCAACCACCACCGCCCCCCAGAAGGCAUGGCUCUUUAGGUAACAAUUAAACUUGUUUAGAAGCAUUAUAUAAAGUUGUCGUGCCAAACGGGAAGGGCCUCAAACCAAGGGCAGCAGAAGUAGUGAGUGAAGUGAAGGAGACCAAGACUUUGGGUGAGAAGAGGACAUCAGGAGCAAAGCCUAGGAAGGGCAACGUGAUUGUCCAAGUUGUUCACCAUGACAUUUGCGGAUAUUCUGGAUAACUUAGGGGGCAUGGGCCGCUUCCAGAGGCUCAUGGUGGCCUUCCUCGCCCUCCCCUUGACCAUGUUGGCCAGCCAUAACCUUCUCCAGAACUUCACGGCAGGGAUCCCUGUGCAUCACUGCCAGGUCCGCAUCAUGGCCAACUACACACGCCAUGCCAACAACGUCACCAAGGAAAUGGGUGCCGAAGGACUUCUGCGAAUCUCCAUCCCGAUGGGCAAGGACCAGAAAGCGGAGAAGUGUCGUCGGUUCGUCACGACUCAAUGGCGGCUUCUCGACCCCAACGCAACGCUACCCAACGACACCAUGGUGGACACCGAGCCAUGCGCCGAUGGGUGGACCUAUGACCGGAGCAUGUUUCCCAGCACCAUUGUCAGUGAGUGGGAUUUAGUGUGUGAUGCCCGGACCCUGCGGCAAAUGGCUCAGUCCCUCUACAUGGCCGGUGUGCUGAUCGGAUCCUUGAUCAUUGGUUUCCUCUCAGACAGGUGAGAUAAUAAUAAUAAUAGUAAUAAUA
rnacentral:lncRNA from 11 species